rnacentral:rRNA from 1 species
GUCCACGCCCUAACGAUGGGUACUAGACGUCGGGAAGCUUGUCUUCUUGGUGUCGCAGCUAACGCAAUAAGUACACCGCCUGGGGAGUACGGUCGCAAGAUUAAACUCAAAGGAAUUGACGGGGCCCGCACAAGCGGUGGAGCAUGUGGUUCAAUUCGAUGCAACGCGAAACCUUACCUGCCCUUGACAUCUGGGGAAUCCUGCAGAGAUGCGGGAGUGCCGCAAGGAACCCCAAGACAGGUGCUGCAUGGCUGUCGU